GAAAGUAAGCAAGGGCAGACGGUGGAUGCCUUGGCUCUCGGAGGCGAUGAAGGACGUGAUAAGCUGCGAAAAGCCCGGGGGAGGCGCAAAUAGCCCUUGAUCCCGGGAUAUCCGAAUGGGGCAACCCGGCAGGCUGAAGGCCUGCCAUCCCGUAAGGGAGGCGAACGUGGGGAACUGAAACAUCUAAGUACCCAUAGGAGGAGAAAAUAAACAAUGAUUCCGUAAGUAGUGGCGAGCGAACACGGAAGAGCCCAAACCCGUGCCGUCUAGGCGACACGGGGGUUGUAGGACCACGACGUGGCAAGAUAGAGUCAAGUGGAACGCCUUGGAAAAGGCGACCGUAGAGGGUGAUAGUCCCGUACACGACUGACGAUUGAAGCCUAGUGGCAUCCUGAGUAGCGCGGGGCACGAGAAAUCUUGCGUGAAACUGCGGGGCCCAUCCCGUAAGGCUAAAUACUCCCGAGAGACCGAUAGCGAACCAGUACCGUGAGGGAAAGGUGAAAAGAACCCCGAGCAGGGGAGUGAAAUAGACCCUGAACCCGUCUGCCUACAAGCGGUCGGAGCGUCGUAAUGACGUGACGGCGUGCCUUUUGCAUAAUGAACCUACGAGUUACCUUCCCCGGCAAGGUUAAGUACCUAAGGUACGGAGCCGAAGCGAAAGCGAGUCUGAACAGGGCGCCAAGUCGGGGGGGGUAGACGCGAAACCGAGUGAUCUACCCUUGGCCAGGUUGAAGGUUGGGUAACACCAACUGGAGGACCGGAUGGGUAAGCGUUGAAAAGCUUUCCAAUGAGCUGAGGGUAGGGGUGAAAGGCUAAUCAAACUCGGAGAUAGCUCGUACUCCCCGAAAUGCAUUUAGGUGCAGCCUCUUUAUAGUAUAUCGUGAGGUAGAGCGACUGAUUGGAUGCGAGGGCUUCACCGCCUAUCAAGUCCAGAUAAACUCCGAAUGCGCGAUAUAUAUUUAAAGGGAGUGAGGGCGCGGGUGCUAAGGUCCGUGUCCGAGAGGAGAAGAAUCCAGACCACCGGCUAAGGCCCCCAAAUGAUCGUUGAGUUGAACUAACGAGGUCGGAUCGCAGAGACAGCUAGGAUGUUGGCUUGGAAGCAGCCAUUCAUUUAAAGAGUGCGUAACAGCUCACUAGUCGAGCGAUCUGGCGUGGAUAAUAAUCGGGCAUAAACGAUCUGCCGAAGCCGUGGAUGUCGUAAGACAUGGUAGGGGAGCAUUCCAUGCUGCGUCGAAGAUGAGGGACGACCCUUGUUGGAGCGCAUGGAAAAGCAAAUGUAGGUAUGAGUAACGAUAAGGGGGGCGAGAAACCCCCCCGCCGAAAGACCAAGGUUUCCUGAUCAACGCUAAUCGGAUCAGGGUGAGUCGGGACCUAAGGCUAAGCCGAACGGCGACGCCGAUGGAAGAAUGGGUUAAUAUUCCCAUACUGCCUCAUGGAGUGACGUGGAGACGGAGAAGUGACAGUCCUGCCGGCUGACGGAAUAGCCGGUUGAAGGGUGUAGGAGUCGAUCAUGGUAGGCAAAUCCGCCGUGAGAUCCGAACCUGAGAGUAUACGGAGCGCUUGCGCGACGUAAUAUGGACGUAACCAUGCUCCCAAGAAAAUCCGCUAAACUUAUCCAUGCGGCACCCGUACCGUAAACGGACACACGUGGUCGGGUUGAGAAUACUGAGGCGCUCGAGUGACUCACGGUUAAGGAACUAGGCAAAUUGACCCUGUAACUUCGGGAUAAAGGGUCCUCGUCGUAAGGCGAGGCGCAGAGAAUAGGUCCAGGCAACUGUUUAACAAAAACACAUGGCUGUGCUAAAUGGAAACAUGACGUAUACAGCCUGACACCUGCCCGGUGCUGGAAGGUUAAGAGGAGAUGUCAUCGCGAGAGAAGCGUUGAAUUGAAGCCCCAGUAAACGGCGGCCGUAACUAUAACGGUCCUAAGGUAGCGAAAUUCCUUGUCGGGUAAGUUCCGACCUGCACGAAUGGUGUAAUGAUCUGGACACUGUCUCAACCGUGAGCU
rnacentral:rRNA from 1 species